UGGACUUUUGACCCUAUACUGCCGCCUCGAUUUCCGGUGGUAUUGCUCCGGUUCUCCCGGAGCACUCCAGAUUCGUAAGCUCAGAGGCGACGGACCCAUUUACGGACGAAACACCUCCGGGACCGGACGAAACUGUCCGUAUCCGUAUUUACCGUAGGGUGUGAAUGGGCCUUAAGUGUUUUGCUCACACUAUAAAUCUUGCAACCCAAGCUGGCCUCGGUGUUCCCCGCGUCGCUCGUUAGCUCGGGCGGGUGAGACGUGUGGCUGCUUUUUUUGAUCGGAGUUCAACGGCUACCGCGGUGUUAAUGUCCAAGCAGAAACAGCUACAAUUGCCAUCACACAAGUUAAUCAUGGACGUUAAGACGCGAUGGAACAGCACGUUGGAUAUGCUGGCUCGUUACCUUGAGCAGCAAGCUGCCAUAUCAGCAGCUCCCACCAGCCAAAGGAUAAGACAAAACGCCUGAAGCAUUGAUACACUUGACAGCUGCGAUGUCAGAGAUGCUGAAGACCUUGUGAAGCUGCUGCAUCCUUUGAAGACAGCCACCACAGUGUUGUGUGAGGAGAAGAGUCCCACCGUGUCUCAUUGUGCCACUGAAGAGCAUGAUUGAUCAGAACAUGACACCAAAUGAUGGAGAUUCCACCACCGUGGCCAACACAAAGACUGCAAUCCUCACGAAUAUUGCAAACAGAUAGUGGGGAUGCCUUCAACUAUCUGCUGGAGUGCACGGUACUGGACCCAAGGUUCCGGACUCUACCUCAGCUAGACCAUGACCAGUGUGAGGCCGUCUUCCAGAGGAUCACAGCUGAGAGGGAAGAAGGGGCAGCAGGUGGAGCUCACUGUCCUACACACGUUAGAGAGAAGGCUGUGAGAGAUGAUGAGCCCAGAAGUGACAGAACCUGCUCCCAAAAAGACAGCACUUGAGGACCUGUUAGGGAACUCUUUCUCUACUGAGCCAGAGGAGUCCAACAGUUCAAAACAGGCUGAGAGGGAAGUUGAAAACUACAGAAAAGAGGCCUCUAUCCUUCUCAGUGGCUGCCCUCUGAAGUGGUGGCAAGAACACUCCUCCCAAUAUCCUUUGCUGUCUCACCUUGCCAAAGCGUGCCUUUCUGUCCCUGCUACCUCCGUUCCAAGUGAGCGCAUCUUUUCAACAGCAGGAGACAGUCAAUGCGCAAAGAUCCCAACUGCUGCCAGCGAAUGUGGACAUGCUUAUGUUUUUUAAAAAAGAACAUGGCUGUGUAGUUGCACCAAGUUAUCAGUGACAUACUUGGUCAGACUCUGCUUGCACUAUUUGCACUCUGUAUUGACGGAGUAGAACUUUGAUUUGGUUUUGCACAUUAUAUUGUUUGCUCUUGAAAAAAAGUAGCACCAAGUUUCAAUUUCAUGCAUGCAAAGAGCUAUAAUAUAAUAUAGAAUCGGUUAAAUAAAAGUCUGUUGUUCCAGUCAUAUAUUUUGUCAUUGUAGUUUUCUUAAAAUCUCGUCUCGUCUCGUUCUCGUGAACCCAAUAUCGUGUCUCGUCUCGUGAGCUGAGUGUAUCGUCACUAGGGCCUGACCGAUAUUGAUUUUUGAGUGCCGAUGCCGAUUAUUUUCAGAGAAAAAUUACGAUUACGAUUUAAUCGGCCGAUUGAAAACAAAACAAAAAAAAGCCUAUAAAACGUAGUUUUUGAUACCUUAAAUAUACUUUAAACACUUUUGACGAAUAUGUGAAUUGAAUGCAGAACCUUUGAGUGAUUUAGAAUACAUUUACAGUCAAAAAUUAGUGUAAUGUAAAAUGUAAAAUAAAUAACUAACUCCCAAUGUGCUGCGCUCGUGAGCAGUGACUAACGUGCGUGCUGAGCAGUAUGGUCUCACCGUUAGAGUCUACAGUAUAACAAAUUAACAUGGCCUGGGACCUAAAGAAAAACAGGCACAACAUGCUCAAACAACGCGUCUUGUGUACAUUGGUGAGGUGAGCGCGCAGCUGCCUGAGCGAGCGUGCUUUCAUGUUGUACGGUAAAAUUCAAUCUCCUCUUUUUUACUCCAGGUAAAGUUGUUAGUUAGCAAGGC
ensembl:lncRNA